AUUUGAACCAUAGGUGGGGGAUUGGAAGAAUAUUUAGAAAUAGAUAGAUCUCGGACAACAAGAUUUCCUAUAUCCACUUUACUUUCAAGAGUAUAUUUAUACUCUUGCUCACGAUCAUGGUUUAAAUAGAUCGAUUCUU